GCGACACUGCAGCCGCCCGGUGCCAGGGAAGCCGACCAAACCAAAGCUGCCACCACUUCCAAUGGAGGCGCCCCGGGACUUCCAUCGUUCCCCGGUCUGCCGUUGCCGCAGAUUCCUGGCCUCCCUAGCCUUCCACCGCUGUUCGGAUUUCUUUUCCCGCCGCUGUUCGGGCCACACCCUGGCGCGGCAGGCGCUCCGCCGUCGUCGCCGCCACCAAAGGAGUGCCUCACGUCGCUAGUAGGCAUGGCGCCAUGCAUGGACUACCUCACCAACCUUACAGUGACGACGCCACCGAGCAUGUGCUGCGAUGGCCUCAAGUCGGUCAUUACCAAUGCGCCCAUCUGCCUCUGCCACGGCAUGAACGGCGGCAUGAGCAAGCUCGCCCCCAAGCCCAUCGACCCGAUCCGUAUGCUUAUCCUCCCGAUCAGAUGUGGCGCCAUGUUACCGAUCCAGACAAUCUUCCAAUGCGCAACUACACCCCUGCCGCCGCUGACGCCUCCUACCUCCCCAGGGCCCCCAAUGCCUCCUGCUUCUCCCUUGUCGCCCGCGCCGCCAGUCAUGUCUUCUGGAUCCCCGGCGCCUGCUAGUUCUCCCGUCUCUCCACCUUGAGAACCAGCACCAGGGUAGCAGGAGGAGGAUGGCUCGAUCGUCGAUUCAUGGUUCCUUCAAGAUUAGAUGUCUAGUUACGUGCAGACAAUUGCCGUUUAUCUUAGUUUGAUUGAGAUAGGGAUAAGAUGUAGCCAAUUUUGAGUCAUAUAUAUGUGAUAGCUAGCUAGUUCUGCUUAUCAUAGGUACAGCCAUGUAAAACCU